UGAGUAACGCGUAGGAAUCUACCCAGUAGCGGGGGAUAAGCCAGAGAAAUUUGGUCUAAUACCGCAUACGCCCUUCGGGGGAAAGCAGGGGAUCUUCGGACCUUGCACUAUUGGAUGAGCCUGCGUGAGAUUAGCUAGUUGGUGAGGUAAUGGCUCACCAAGGCGACGAUCUCUAGCUGGUCUGAGAGGAUGAUCAGCCACACUGGAACUGAGACACGGUCCAGACUCCUACGGGAGGCAGCAGUGGGGAAUAUUGCACAAUGGGCGCAAGCCUGAUGCAGCCAUGCCGCGUGUGUGAAGAAGGCCCUAGGGUUGUAAAGCACUUUCAGCAGUGAGGAAAGGUUAGUAGUUAAUACCUGCUAGCUGUGACGUUAACCGCAGAAGAAGCACCGGCUAACUCCGUGCCAGCAGCCGCGGUAAUACGGAGGGUGCGAGCGUUAAUCGGAAUUACUGGGCGUAAAGCGCGCGUAGGUGGAUUGGUCAGUCAGAUGUGAAAGCCCAGGGCUCAACCUUGGAACUGCACCUGAUACUGCCAGUCUAGAAUACGGUA
rnacentral:rRNA from 1 species